CUUGCAAUCUGGUGGCGACCGGCGCACGGGUGCGUAACGCGUAUACAACCUACCUUUUGGAGGGGAAUAGCCCAGAGAAAUUUGGAUUAAUACCCCAUAGUAUAUAGGAAUCUCCUGAUUUUUAUAUUAAACAUUUAUGGCCAUUAGAUGGGUAUGCGUCCUAUUAGCUAGUUGGUGUGGUAACGGCACACCAAGGCUACGAUAGGUAGGGGUCCUGAGAGGGAGAUCCCCCACACUGGUACUGAGACACGGACCAGACUCCUACGGGAGGCAGCAGUGAGGAAUAUUGGACAAUGGGCGAGAGCCUGAUCCAGCCAUGCCGCGUGCAGGAAGACUGCCCUAUGGGUUGUAAACUGCUUUUACAGAGGAAGAACCACCCCCACGUGUGGGGGUUUGACGGUACUCUGCGAAUAAGGAUCGGCUAACUCCGUGCCAGCAGCCGCGGUAAUACGGAGGAUCCAAGCGUUAUCCGGAAUCAUUGGGUUUAAAGGGUCCGUAGGCGGAUAAAUAAGUCAGUGGUGAAAGUCUGCAGCUCAACUGUAGAAUUGCCAUUGAUACUGUUUAUCUUGAGUUAUUAUGAAGUGGUUAGAAUGAGUAGUGUAGCGGUGAAAUGCAUAGAUAUUACUCAGAAUACCGAUUGCGAAGGCAGAU
rnacentral:rRNA from 1 species